GACGAACGCUGGCGGCGUGCUUAACACAUGCAAGUCGAACGGAAAGGCCCUGCUUUUGUGGGGUGCUCGAGUGGCGAACGGGUGAGUAACACGUGAGUUACCUGCCCUUGACUUUGAUAUAACUUCAGGAAACUGGGGCUAAUACCGGAUAGGAGCUCCUGCUGCUUGGUGGGGGUGGGUAAGUUUCGGUGGUUGGGGAUGGAAUCGCGGCCUAUCAGCUUGUUGGUGGGGUAGUGGCUUACCAAGGCUUUGACGCGUAGCCGGCCUGAGAGGGUGAGCGGCCACAUUGGGACUGAGAUACGGCCCAGACUCCUACGGGAGGCAGAAGUGGAGAAUAUUGCACUAUGGGCGGAAGCCUGAUGUAGCAACGCCGCGUGCGGGAUGACGGCCUUCGGGUUGUAAACCGCAUUCGCCUGUGACGAAGCGUGAGUGACGGUAAUGGGUAAAGAAGCACCGGCUAACUACGUG
rnacentral:rRNA from 1 species